AAUUUAAACCUCUUCCAGAGUAUCAAUUGGAGGGCAAGUCUGGUGCCAGCAGCCGCGGUAAUUCCACCUCCAAUAGCGUAUAUUAAAAUUGUUGCAGUUAAAAAGCUCGUAGAUGAAUUUCUGCUGCAUUGCUUUUGCUCCUUUACGAGUCUUUGCAUUGUGGCUUAUUUCGGACUUUGUUUUACAAUGUCCGGAUGUUUACUUUAAGAAAAUUAGAGUGCUCAAAGCAGGCUUUCGCCUUGAAUAGUUUAGCAUGGAAUAAUAAAGUAGGACUUUGGUUCUAUUUUGUUGGUUUUAGCUACCAAAGUAAUGGUUAAUAGGAACAGUUGGGGGCAUUCGUAUUUGACUGUCAGAGGUGAAAUUCUUAGA
rnacentral:rRNA from 1 species